AUUUGAACAAAACUACGAACAACUAAUGGAGGGAAUUCGCGGAAUCUACUUGGCUAUAACUAAUGCAUACUUUGGGAUGUUGCUUCGAUAAAAAGAAAACUAAAUUAAACGGAGAUGGAAAGAAAAAAAAAAUACGACUGAAGAAGCAUCUGGGCUAUUGUUACUUCAUUGAAAGGCAACGAAUGUCGGUCAAGGUCAACCGACUGCAUCGUCCGUCGACCUAGUUUGUUUGUCUAAACGGAAAUGGUCUACAAUGCGAGGAAACAGACUAGCCGACAUCUCGAGCAUUGGACACGGAUUUUAAAACCUCUGAGAGUAUUUUAUUGGAAAUCUGUAACCGGAACUGCGUUCGUAUCACCAGAAAACUUCGGCCACUUUUCGAUUAUGCUGCACUGUUGAUGCGGUAGACGUCUCGGAUAUCCACCGAACGGCAUUCUAGAUGAACCCCGCUGGUAUUCAGGAGGGUACCGGAAGUGACCUGUACCAUCGUUCCCAUUAGCUGGGUAAUGUAGCGGAUGCCUUGGCGUUUCAAGACGAGGUACUUCUCUCAGACGAGGCACACCUCUAGAAGCGCUCACCCCAUUUGCAGUCACCGGAAUACCUCGUUGUUCAAAGGCCCGUCCAGACAACUGCAACGGUGGCGUUGGAUCUGGAAACCGGCUGGGCGGAUUCGUAGCUUCUCCACAUACCGAUGGAUCCGAUUCAGAUCCGGAGCACACACUUACGUUGGCCAUCUGGUUUACCAAGUUAUUCACGGCAUGUUCAUCAAUCACUGGACCAUCGGGACCUUGUCGAAUUAGCUGGUCGACAUGCCUGUGAAUGUAAGAUUCUAUCUCCGACACAUGAAUGAAUUCACUAUUCUGUUGCCUCUCUCCAAUAGGUGUUUGCUCAACUUCAACGACUUCAACGUCAGGGUUCGUCCUCAAAGGUUGUUCCGUAAGCAUCGGACUACUAUGUUUCGAAGCAGCUCCCUGCUCA